CAGAGUUGCAAAACUCCCAACCCUUUGUGAACGAACCUACUAGUUGCUUCGGCGGCAGACCCCUCUGGGGCCUAGCCUUUACGGGUACCCCGCCGGAGUCCUACAAACUCUUGAUUUUUUGGCAUCUCUGAGUAGCUUAUAAAUAAGUUA
rnacentral:misc_RNA from 1 species